UACAAGCAUGUUGGGAAUAAUGCGCCAGACCACACCUUAGGUUGUUAAUUGCCACACCCCUGAGCGCAUUGUUCAAUAAAAGAGA